rnacentral:tRNA from 1 species
UAGCUCAGUUGGUAAAGAAUCUGCCUACAAUGCAGGAGACCCGGGUUCAACCCCCGG